UACGUAGGGGGCGAGCGUUGUCCGGAAUCAUUGGGCGUAAAGCGCGUGUAGGCGGUCCGGUAAGUCCGCUGUGAAAGUCGGGGGCUCAACCCUCGGAUGCCGGUGGAUACUGUCGGGCUCGAGUACGGAAGAGGCGAGUGGAAUUCCUGGUGUAGCGGUGAAAUGCGCAGAUAUCGGGAAGAACACCCGUGGCUAAGGCGGAUCUCUGGGCCUGUUCUGACGCUGAGGCGCGAAAGCUAGGGGAGCGAACAGG
rnacentral:rRNA from 1 species